rnacentral:rRNA from 1 species
AUUGAACGCUGGCGGCAUGCCUUACACAUGCAAGUCGAAUGGCAGCGGGGACUUCGGUCCGCCGGCGAGUGGCGAACGGGUGAGUAAUGUAUCGGAACGUACCUUUCAGUGGGGGAUAACGUAGCGAAAGUUACGCUAAUACCGCAUAUUCUCUGAGGAGGAAAGCAGGGGACCUUCGGGCCUUGUGCUGAUGGAGCGGCCGAUAUCAGAUUAGCUAGUUGGUGAGGUAAAGGCUCACCAAGGCGACGAUCUGUAGCGGGUCUGAGAGGAUGAUCCGCCACACUGGGACUGAGACACGGCCCAGACUCCUACGGGAGGCAGCAGUGGGGAAUUUUGGACAAUGGGCGCAAGCCUGAUCCAGCCAUGCCGCGUGAGUGAAGAAGGCCUUCGGGCUGUAAAGCUCUUUCAGCGAGGAGGAAGGGGUGUGUGUUAAUAGUACACACCUUUGACGUUACUCGCAGAAGAAGCACCGGCUAACUCUGUGCCAGCCGCCGCCGUAAUAC